UUGGACUGGCCCACCACACUUCCUGGUUUGAAAUUUGAAGAUGAAAUAUUGUAUCUAAAAUAAUUUCGGAAUACAGGCGGCACAAUGGUUAGCACAUCUCCCUCACAGCUCUGAGGGCCAGGGUUCAAAUCCCGCCUCGUCAGUGUGGGGUUUGGAUUUUCCUCCUGUGCCCGCGUGGGUUUCCUCCAGGUACUCCUGUUUCCUCCCACAUCCCUGAAACAUGCACGGCAGGUGUUAAUUGUUUCCAGUGGUUUUUCUUCCCUGCUAAUCAGCGUUGACAGUGUGUGAUGUUCCGCAGGGGAAGCUUCCCUUUUCCCUGCCUUCAGUCUUCAACCAGCCAGGAGGAAAAAGAAUCUGUAAGUUGAGCGAAGGAGAGCGUCCUUUCCUCAGGUCAUUAGCAUGUCCAAACCAGAGGUACCCAGAGAGCCUCGCUACACACUAUAAGAAAGACACUUUGCAGACUAGAAGAAUACAUUUCUACUUAAUUAAUCCCACUCCUUCCUUUCGCUAUUUAAAGGCAAUGGUCUGUUUAACAACUUUC